UCGUGUUCAUCGUUGGAUAAGCGCACGUUGUUGGCCGCACCGCUCUUCGUCGGUACAUACGGAGCCGGCAGCAUCGCUCACCUCCGGCCGUCCGGCAUCCGCAGGCUGCGCACACCCGCGGCUGCUCAUCCGCAUCCCUCCUUCACACAUACAUGAGGACAUCCAAGGCAAGGUGAGAGUUCAUGGCUGCUUCCUUACUCCCUUCUUGAUAUGUUUCGGUGUUGUUGGGGAUAUUACUUAUUGAUAACCCGUCUUAGUUGGGUCGGGUCACCAAAUAAGGCGAUUCAUCUAAGCGUGGUUCGGGACUUGGCCUGGCAAGACCGAAGGUUGUAUGGCGGUUUACAAUUUUUGGAAGGUCUCCAAGCUUUGGAAGAUGACGACUUAGAGAUCGUAAAAGUCACGGUUUUUAGAAAGGAAAGUACCCUUGUAAACCCUAGGGACUUGACUUGUAUAUAAAGGCGAGUCCCAGGGAAGAAGAGGGCAAGUUAGAAA
rnacentral:lncRNA from 1 species